UACGGAGGGUGCAAGCGUUGUUCGGAAUCACUGGGCGGAAAGGGCGUGUAGGCGGUCCGCUAAGUCUGAUGUGAAAGCCCGAGGCUUACCCUCGGAAGUGCAUUGGAGACUGGCGGACUGGAGUCCCGGAGAGGAGGGUGGAAUUCCUGGUGUAGCGGUGAAAUGCGUAGAUAUCAGGAGGAACACCGGUGGCGAAGGCGGCCCUCUGGACGGUGACUGACGCUGAGACGCGAAAGCGUGGGGAGCAAACAGG
rnacentral:rRNA from 1 species